rnacentral:tRNA from 1 species
CGUAAUGUAGCUUAAUUAAAGCAUUUCGCUUACACCGAAAAAAUAUCCGUGAAAAUCAGACCUUUACGA